rnacentral:rRNA from 1 species
CCUACGGGUGGCAGCAGUGAGGAAUAUUGGUCAAUGGACGAGAGUCUGAACCAGCCAAGUCGCGUGAAGGAUGACUGCCCUAUGGGUUGUAAACUUCUUUUAUAUGGGAAUAAAAUGUUCCACGUGUCGGCUUUUGUAUGUACCAUAUGAAUAAGGAUCGGCUAACUCCGUGCCAGCAGCCGCGGUAAUACGGAGGAUCCGAGCGUUAUCCGGAUUUAUUGGGUUUAAAGGGGGCGUAGGGGGAUUGUUAAGUCAGUUGUGAAAGUUUGCGGCUCAACCGUGAAAUUGCAGUUGAAACUGGCAGUCUUGAGUACAGGAGAGGUGGGCGGAAUGCGUGGUGUAGCGGUGAAAUGCUUAGAUAUCACGAAGAACUCCGAUUGCGAAGGCAGCUCACUGGACUGCAACUGACGCUGAGGCUCGAAAGUGUGGGUAUCAAACAGGAUUAGAUACCCCGGUAGUC